GUUAUUAGAUGUGCUGAUUUUUGAUGCUUUUUUUUUUUCUUUUUCCUCAGCUCCAGCUUUCUCUUUAAUAUAUAUUGGUGGAAGUGUAGAAAUUCCUAAUCUGACUUACACAAAUGAUUUCAAUGAUCCCAGCUCCCAGAAAUUCCUUCUGCAAGCAGAGGCAAUCCAAAAUUAUCUCACAGAAUCCUAUGAGUGUUCCACCUUGGGAAAGUAUUAUUUGAAGUCCAUAGUGGCUGCUUUCAGUGAAGGAGAGUAUGGACUUCGAGCUUACUACUGGAAUACAUUCUGGGCACCACGGGAUAUUACUGGCUCUCUUAAAAAGUUAAUCCCACUGGAACAAAAAGAAAUGAGUAGUAAACAAAUACCUCACAUAUUCAGUACUUCUGGAGAAGGAGAUUUUGAUCUUGUUACAAUGGAGC
rnacentral:lncRNA from 1 species